rnacentral:rRNA from 1 species
CCCGCGCCAUUGAUCAUGGCGGGAGACAGUGUCAGGCGGGCAGUUUGACUGGGGCGGUCGCCUCCUAAAGUGUAACGGAGGCGCUCAAAGGUUCCCUCAGAAUGGUUGGAAAUCAUUCAUAGAGUGUAAAGGCAUAAGGGAGCUUGACUGCGAGACCUACAAGUCGAGCAGGGUCGAAAGACGGACUUAGUGAUCCGGUGGUUCCGCAUGGAAGGGCCAUCGCUCAACGGAUAAAAGCUACCCCGGGGAUAACAGGCUUAUCUCCCCCAAGAGUUCACAUCGACGGGGAGGUUUGGCACCUCGAUGUCGGCUCAUCGCAUCCUGGGGCUGUAGUCGGUCCCAAGGGUUGGGCUGUUCGCCCAUUAAAGCGGUACGCGAGCUGGGUUCAGAACGUCGUGAGACAGUUCGGUCCCUAUCCGUCGUGGGCGUAGGAAAUUUGAGAGGAGCUGUCCUUAGUACGAGAGGACCGGGAUGGACAUACCUCUGGUGUACCAGUUGUCGUGCCAACGGCAUAGCUGGGUAGCUAUGUAUGGACGGGAUAAGUGCUGAAAGCAUCUAAGCAUGAAGCCCCCCUCAAGAUGAGAUUUCCCAACUUCGGUUAUAAGAUCCCUCAAAGAUGAUGAGGUUAAUAGGUUCGGGGUGGAAGCAUAGCGAUAUGUGGAGCUGACGAAUACUAAUCGAUCGAAGACUUAAUCAA